CCUACGGGGGGCAGCAGUAGGGAAUCUUUCACAAUGGGCGAAAGCCUGAUGGAGCAACGCCGCGUGCAGGAUGAAGGCCUUCGGGUUGUAAACUGCUUUUAUAAGCGAGAAAUAUGAUGGUAACUUAUGAAUAAGAAUCGGCUAACUACGUGCCAGCAGCCGCGGUCAUACGUAGGAUCCGAGCAUUAUCCGGAGUGACUGGGUGUAAAGAGUUGCGUAGGUGGCAUAAUAAGUAGCUAGUGAAAUCUGGUGGCUCAACCAUUCAGACUAUUAGCUAAACUGUUAAGCUCGAGACCGUUAGGGGUAACUGGAAUUUCUAGUGUAGGAGUGAAAUCCGUAGAUAUUAGAAGGAACACCAAUAGCGUAGGCAGGUUGCUGGGACGGUUCUGACACUAAGGCACGAAAGCGUAGGGAGCAAACGGGAUUAGAUACCCGUGUAGUC
rnacentral:rRNA from 1 species